GCCUUCGUGGUGUAGUGGUCAGCACGCUCGAUGCGUAACCGAGAGGUCCGUGGUUCGAUUCCAGGCGAAGGCG
rnacentral:tRNA from 1 species